GCCCGCUCGCACGCCACGCUCAUUUCCAUCGAUGUCGUCUUCCACCUCACCCUGAGCGCCCGCCUGCCAUUGCCAGCGCGCCCCCUCCCUCGCUCCCUCUGCCCUAGAAAUCGCGUCGCGCCCAGGGUGCCCUUCCAUCCAUGGAAGGUGGUCUACUGUCGAUCGGCCUCUCCCCCAUGCUCCUUCAUCAACUCCGUCCGCCGCGCCGCCGAGCCCCGAGAUCGCGCCGAUCUGCCAUUCUCGCACCCUCGCCCCGACACGCGCUCACCAUCGGCCCUCACCAACCUCCGCCCGCGUUCCCCACACCGCCCUCCACCCCAUCCGCGUCCGCCCCAUCUGUAGCACACGGGCUGCAGCCGCCCCAUCCCUAAAACGUGGGCGCUGGCACUACCACGGCUCUGCCCCCAUACCUCCACGCUGCCAGACAGCAUCGGGACGAUACCAUGCCCCACUCCUCCCCACACGCAAAAGUCGUCCUGCUCGCCCCGUGCUGUGUUCGCAUCUGCGAUGACCGGUAUCCAUGACCGAUACCCCCACCCCGGCUUCUUCCUGCCAGUUUAGCCGACCACUACUUCUCCACUGCUGCUCGCCGUCUCCUCAACCACCGCUGCGCCACACAAUCCUCCCGCGGCGUGUCUGACUCAAGUCAGGAUGUCUCACAGGAGCAGAAGCAGAAGCCCGAACCGAAUCCAACCGAGUCAUCUCAACGACUCCGCCAGUUUCCAAUUGCCCCCUUUUUUAGGCGUUCAAGUUCCUUCGAGAUGGCGACAAGUAGAGGAGAGAGAUAGUGUUUCCUUCAAUCCCUCUGGCACCACCGACAACGUAUCCCCGUGGCCAUCCUCGAUUCUCCUUGCCAAAGGAGGCGUCAGCCAAGUCGUCGCGUCGCGGCCGGCGAUCCACUCGAGGAUGUUCCUGGUGAGUAGCACCACCGCGGUGGGGAUCAGGGAUGGGGGAGGUGACAAUGGCGAUGGUGGGGUGCAGCUCGCCGACAACCUUAAGAUCUUCAAGACUGACAACUUCGAUCUCGACGUCUACGUGCAGUCCAAGUGCCAGACUAUGAACGAGAAGCACUGCCACUAUGAUGUGUAUGCUUGCGUCAGGACAGGAGACCCAAAAGUACUUCACAGAUGAAUGUGACAUUUUCCACAAGAACGAGCUGUAGAUCUAAUUUGAUUCUUCCGUUCCUCCUGUGGUGGGAUCAAUCAGAUACGAAAUGGCCAAGGACUACUGACGAUGAUGACGACAUGGCCACCAUCGCCGCCCUCAGGUAGGCCAUCCUCCAAGAGCUCAACCUCCACGCCUCUGUUCUAAAGGUUGGUGUUACCAUUGGUCAGUAUGUUGAAGGGGCACGACAUUCUUGUAUUAGGGCUACUUAGCUUGUAUUAUGAGCACUUUUGGCUGUCCUGGGUAACUUCUGCGGACCUGGUAGUUGUUUCUCCACAUGGUUCUGCUGUCCUGGGUAGCAAAAAACAUUGCUUCUGGUCUUGUUCUUGUUGCAAAGUCCAGUAGCAAUGAUGCUUCGAGGCUGACAUUCUGGCUCUCCAACACAGUUGUCCUCAGGGAGAUAAUUGUACAAAGUUUUGGCAUCUCACAUCAAUUUACUCCAUCCAUGACGAAUAUGAGCAUGAAUGGUGGUGCCAAAAAACUUGAUGGGAAAUCUAUGACAAUGCUGUGGAGAAACAACUACAAUGGCAUGCAAGGCAGAUGCCAGAUGAUUGGCACGAAACAAGUACACUUUUGUCUACAUUAGAGAAGAUUGAGUCUUGGAUAUUUUCUCGCAUUGUUGAGACAAUAUGGUGGCAGGUAGAAGGAUCAUCAACUCCAAAGAUUGGUAGAGUGCUAGGUCCUACUUUGGGUGAUCAGUAGUAGGGCACCUUUUCUGUUAACCUGUGGAAGGUUGCGUUUUACGACGCAUUCAACAGAAUGUGCCCCCUCAGUAUUGGCAGACAUGAGUGUGGUUGUUUACCAAUAUUAGCAAAACUAGUAUUUUUUAACAUCCUUAGUUUCAAAGAAUAACCUGUUCUUUUUGUUACUACAAAUAUAUUUCCGAACUUUGCGAGUUCUUCAUUAUUAGGUGAUGGAGCAGUGUGUAGCCCGUUUGGAUGUUGCCAUGUUUAAUGCCAUCCUUCAUGAAUCAGCAAGUGAGAUACCAACAGACCCUAUAUCUGACCCAAUUGUUGACCCAAAAGUCCUACCAAUUCCAGCUGGUGAUCUAAGCUUUGGGUCACGCGCGCAGCUGAAUAACUCUAUUGGAAACUGGUCCAGAUGGCUGACAGAUAAGCUUGGCAUAGAUCAUGAUGACUUUGAGGACAUAGGAGAUGUUGAAGACGAAAGAAGAGCUGCAGCUGAAACGAAAUCAUUUCAACUUCUCAAUGAGCUAAGUGAUCAUCUAUUUUUUAGUUUUUCAUAAUUUUCCUUUCAUGGCCUCCUUACAUGUUUGAUUUCCUAUGAUCCAUGAGUUGCCAAUCAUGAUAACGCGGUUUCACUAUGUAGGAGAUGAACAAGGAUGCUGUCACAACUGAUGCUAUCGGCAGUAUCAGAACUUGAUGAUGCUUGUAGACUGUUCAUGGUGCUUGUAGACUGUUCAUGGUGCUUGUAGGGAUGAUGUAUGUCUAUGGCUUACUGAGCUCCAACCAACUAUGGAAGGAGCGUUAGCUAGGACAGCAGUUAGUCUAACAGUUGUGGACAAAGUUCAGUAUACCAUACACUGAAGCGCACCCUUGUUGCUAAAGCUGCAGGUGUCAACAGCUUUGCUCAGCAGAAUGGAGGAUCAUUGUCACUAGCAGCAAGACCUCAAGCCCAGGCAGAGAGCAAAGAAGGAUGAUGCACUUUCCAACCUAUGUAGCACGUUGGGACAACUCAAGAAAAUGGCAGUGGAUAUGGACAUAGAAAUUGACAGGCAAAACAAAGUGCUGGUUCCUUUCAGCGACGACGUCGAUGAACUGAAUUUUAGACUGAAAGGCGUGAAUCAGUGUGGACGCCAGUUGCUGGGCAAGUGAUAUGGAGCCAGAAUUCGGGCAGUUUGGAGACUAUCGCCUCGAUUGCAGAAUUUAAGAACAUUGUUGUUUUACAUGUUUUUUGCAGUGAAUCAGGCCACACAUGUUGUAUUAGUGAGAGAAUGAUGAUUUAUUUUGUAUUAUUAAGGAUUUCAUAGAUUAUUUUAGUUUUCCCUGAACUGCAAUCGUUUCAAUAACAUAGAGGGGACUACCUUGAAUGACAUUUAGGUGAA